rnacentral:rRNA from 1 species
AUUGAACGCUGGCGGCAGGCUUAACACAUGCAAGUCGAACGAGUGGCGGACGGGUGAGUAAUGCUUGGGCAUCUAGCUUAUGGAGGGGGAUAACUACGGGAAACUGUAGCUAAUACCGCGUACCAUAGGAUGAGCCCAAGUGGGAAUAGGUAGUUGGGGAGGUAAAGGCUCACCAAGACGACGAUCUGUAGCUGGUCUGAGAGGAUGCCCAGCCACACUGGGACUGAGACACGGCCCAGACUCCUACGGGAGGCAGCAGUGGGGAAUAUUGGGCAAUGGGGGAAACCUGAGCCAGCCAUGCCGCGUGAAUGAAGAAGGCCUUCGGGUUGUAAAGUUCUUUCGGUAGCGAGGCGUUAACUACAGAAUAAGCACCGGCUAACUCCGUGCCAGCAGCCGCGGUAAUUC